ensembl:lncRNA
CUUGGGUCUGCAGAGCCGGCGCAGGACGCUUUUCUCCUAAGCUGCUCCGAGGGCCGCACUGUCCUCCUUCUGGGCCUGGAGGCCCAUCCAGUGCCUGCAACAGGUCCCACUGAGGAUGUAGAGCCCUGCCUCUGGGGGAGAGACAGGGUGGACAAGACUGCCGUCUGAGGCGGGAUAGGGGUGUCUGUUGACGGUGCUUUUGGUCGAAGUGGGACACUUCAGAGUCCCCCCUUAGACCCCCAAGGAUGGCCGACUGGUGAGCUGUCCGCCCUGUUCCCUGGCCGCAAGAGCAGCAGCGGGGCCCGGAGUUGUCUCGGGCCUGGUGGAGGUCACCUUCUCCGCUCCAGGCAGCGGCCCUGCCCGGCUCUGGUGCUGAAGGACAGUUGGAGCCUCUCAAGACCCCGGGGCUUCUGGCCGCAUCACUCAAACGUAGACGGACAAGUUUAUUGGUUCCUGUCAGAAGCAGGCCUGUUUUCAGAAAAGAGCCAGGAGGGUUGCCGUUGGCACGACAAUUAAAAGAAGAGUGCCCGGAGCUCGGGGCGUCUGGGAACACAGGGAACGGGCAGGCCGGGGGUGAGUGCCACGCCGCGCCUCAGGAGGACGGCUCCUCUGAGCAUCUGAGCCUGCAGGGCUGUGAGUCGGGGGUGACCUGGGGCCAGGAGGCCGCCUCGCGGGAGGCCCAGGUGGUCCCAGACCCCACGCAGGGUCCAAAGCCACCUGCGUUUCCCCAAGGAGCACACCAUGACCUCCAACCUCUGCGGUCAGCUCUCCUUCACGUCCUGAGCUGGAGCUCAUAGGGGCCGAGUGUGUAAAGCAGAUCUGAAGGCCGUGAGGUGCCCCGGUGGGGUCUUCAAGGUCUAGAGCUGGACACGAGUGGAUGGCCAGCUCUCCAGUGACCCUGAGAAAGGCCACACUUAUCCCCUCUGGGUCUUGCAGGGGGAAGCUACCCCUGAGCAGUGAGGGGGGCUGGAGGCCCAUCCCCAGGGGGACACCGGGCCCACGGCCAUGCCCCUGGUCAGAGGCACAGGCUGGAGCUGAGCCCAGCCUGAGCACGAGGACCCCCUGGCCUUUUCCUAGCUGACCCUCACUAAGAGCCCCAGCCCCUCACAGGGGUGGGGAGUGAUGUCCUGGAAGGCCUGGCUGCCAGGCGGGCCCCUCCUACUGUGGGGGCCUGUUGGAACGGGGCAGUGUGCACAAGGGGCUCAGGGUUG